UACGUAGGGUGCGAGCGUUGUCCGGAAUUAUUGGGCGUAAAGAGCUUGUAGGCGGUUUGUCGCGUCUGCCGUGAAAUUUCGAGGCUCAAACCUCGAACUUGCGGUGGGUACGGGCAGACUAGAGUGUGGUAGGGGGAGACUGGAAUUCCUGGUGUAGCGGUGAAAAUGCGCAGAUAUCAGGAGGAACACCGAUGGCGAAGGCAGGUCUCUGGGCCACUACUGACGCUGGAGAAAGCGAAAGCAUGGGGGAGCGAACAGG
rnacentral:rRNA from 1 species